rnacentral:rRNA from 1 species
UACCAGCACCCCGAGUGGUCGGGACGAUUAUUGGGCCUAAAGCAUCCGUAGCCGGUUCUACAAGUCUUCCGUUAAAUCCACCUGCUUAACAGAUGGGCUGCGGAGGAUACUAUGGAGCUAGGAGGCGGGAGAGGCAAGCGGUACUUAGUGGGUAGGGGUAAAAUCCGUUGAUCCAUUGAAGACCACCAGUGGCGAAGGCGGCUUGCCAGAACGCGCUCGAACGGGUGAGGGA